CUCAGAUUGAACGCUGGCGGCAGGCUUAACACAUGCAAGUCGAACGGUAACAGAGAAUAGCUUGCUAUUUUGCUGACGAGUGGCGGACGGGUGAGUAAUGCUUGGGAAUUUGCCGAAAGGUGGGGGACAACAGUUGGAAACGACUGCUAAUACCGCAUAAUGUCUACGGACCAAAGGUGGCCUCUAUUUAUAUGCUAUCGCCUUUCGAUGAGCCCAAGUGGGAUUAGUUAGUUGGUAAGGUAAUGGCUUACCAAGGCGACGAUCCCUAGCUGGUCUUAGAGGAUGACCAGCCACACUGGAACUGAGACACGGUCCAGACUCCUACGGGAGGCAGCAGUGGGGAAUAUUGCACAAUGGGGGGAACCCUGAUGCAGCCAUGCCGCGUGUGUGAAGAAGGCUUUCGGGUUGUAAAGCACUUUCAGCGAGGAGGAAAGGACAUAGAUUAAUACUCUAUGUCUGUGACGUUACUCGCAGAAGAACGAGU
rnacentral:rRNA from 1 species